rnacentral:misc_RNA from 1 species
GAUGAAGAACGCAGCGAAAUGCGAUAAGUAAUGCGAAUUGCAGAAUUUCCGUGAGUCAUCGAAUCUUUGAACGCACAUUGCGCCCACUGGUAUUCCGGUGGGCAUGCCUGUUCGAGCGUCAUUAUCCUCCCUCAAACCCCGGGUUUGGUGUUGGACCCAAGUUGUGUGAACAACUGGUCUUAAAGACAAUGACGGCGUCCGUGGGACCCUCGGUGCAACGAGCUUUUAGGAGCACGCAUCGAGUUGCAAGGACCUUCCGGGCCGGUCUCCUUUACUAUUUUACAUGGUUGACCUCGGAUCAGGUAGGAAUACCCGCUGAACUUAAGCAUAUCAAAGCGGAGGA